rnacentral:rRNA from 1 species
GAUGAACGCUGGCGGCGUGCCUAAUACAUGCAAGUCGAGCGAACGGACGAGAAGCUUGCUUCUCUGAUGUUAGCGGCGGACGGGUGAGUAACACGUGGAUAACCUACCUAUAAGACUGGGAUAACUUCGGGAAACCGGAGCUAAUACCGGAUAAUAUUUUGAACUGCAUGGUUCAAAAGUGAAAGACGGUCUUGCUGUCACUUAUAGAUGGAUCCGCGCUGCAUUAGCUAGUUGUUAAGGUAACGGCUUACCAAGGCAACGAUGCAUAGCCGACCUGAGAGGGUGAUAGGCAACACUGGAACUAGGACACGGUCAAGACUCCUACGAGAGGCACACGUAGGAAACCUCCAGCAAUGGGAGAAGGCGUGAAGAAGCAACAACGCGUGAGUGAUGAAGGUAUCAGGAUCGUGAAACUCAGUUAGUAGGGAAGAACAUAUGUGUAAGUAACUGGGCACAUUUAGAAGGUUACUAGUCAGAAAAGCACGGCUAACUACGUG